UACGGGGGGAGCAAGCGUUGUUCGGAUUUACUGGGCGUAAAGGGCGCGUAGGCGGCCACCGCAAGUCGACUGUGAAAUCUCCGGGCUUAACCCGGAAAGGUCAGCCGAUACUGCGGGGCUAGAGUGCAGAAGGGGCAACUGGAAUUCUCGGUGUAGCGGUGAAAUGCGUAGAUAUCGAGAGGAACACCUGCGGCGAAGGCGGGUUGCUGGGCUGACACUGACGCUGAUGCGCGAAAGCUAAGGGGAGCGAAGCGGG
rnacentral:rRNA from 1 species